CCCAGACUCCUACGGGAGGCAGCAGUGGGGGAUAUUGCACAAUGGGGGAAACCCUGAUGCAGCGACGCCGCGUGAGUGAAGAAGUAUUUCGGUACGUAAAGCUCUAUCAGCAGGGAAGAAAAAAGACGGUACCUGACUAAGAAGCCCCGGCUAACUACGUGCCAGCAGCCGCGGUAAUACGUAGGGGGCAAGCGUUAUCCGGAUUUACUGGGUGUAAAGGGAGCGUAGACGGCAAUACAAGUCGGAAGUGAAAUACCCGGGCUCAACCUGGGAACUGCUUUGGAAACUGUAUGGCUGGAGUGCUGGAGAGGUAAGCGGAAUUCCUAGUGUAGCGGUGAAAUGCGUAGAUAUUAGGAGGAACACCAGUGGCGAAGGCGGCUUACUGGACUGUAACUGACGUUGAGGCUCGAAAGCGUGGGGAGCAAACAGGAUUAGAUACCCCUGUACCA
rnacentral:rRNA from 1 species